rnacentral:rRNA from 1 species
UACAUGGGGUGCAAACGUUGCUCGGAAUUAUUGGGCGUAAAGCGCGCGUAGGCGGUUACUCAAGUCGGAUGUGAAAGCCCUCGGCUUAACUGAGGAAGUGCACCCGAAACUGAGUAGCUAGAGUACUAAAGAGGGUCGCGGAAUUCCCGGUGUAGAGGUGAAAUUCGUAGAUAUCGGGAGGAACACCGGUGGCGAAGGCGGCGACCUGGGUUGACACUGACGCUGAGGCGCGAAAGCGUGGGGAGCAAACAGG